CGGGACGGGUGGGUAAUGUCUGGGAAACGUGCCUGAUGGAGGGGGAUAACUACUGGAAACGGUAGCUAAUACCGCAUAACGUCGCAAGACCAAAGAGGGGGACCGUUCGGGCCUCUUGCCAUCGGAUGUGCCCAGAUGGGAUUAGCUAGUAGGUGGGGUAACGGCUCACCUAGGCGACGAUCCCUAGCUGGUCUGAGAGGAUGACCAGCCACACUGGAACUGAGACACGGUCCAG
rnacentral:rRNA from 1 species